rnacentral:rRNA from 1 species
UGGGGAAUAUUGGACAAUGGGCGCAAGCCUGAUCCAGCAAUUCCGCGUGGAUGAAGAAGGCCUUCGGAUUGUAAAGUCCUUUCGGCGGGGACGAUGAUGACGGUACCCGCAGAAGAAGCCCCGGCUAACUUCGUGCCAGCAGCCGCGGUAAUACGAAGGGGGCUAGCGUUGCUCGGAAUGACUGGGCGUAAAGGGCGCGUAGGCGGCGCAUUUAGUCAGGCGUGAAAUUCCUGGGCUCAACCUGGGGACUGCGCUUGAUACGGGUGUGCUAGAGGAUGGAAGAGGCUCGCGGAAUUCCCAGUGUAGAGGUGAAAUUCGUAGAUAUUGGGAAGAACACCGGUGGCGAAGGCGGCGAGCUGGUCCAUUACUGACGCUGAGGCGCGACAGCGUGGGGAGCAAAC